rnacentral:rRNA from 1 species
GUGGGGAAUCUUCCACAAUGGACGAAAGUCUGAUGGAGCAACGCCGCGUGAGUGAAGAAGGGUUUCGGCUCGUAAAGCUCUGUUGUCGGGGACGAAUGUGCAGUAUUUGAAUAAAGUACUGCAAUGACGGUACCUGACGAGGAAGCCACGGCUAACUACGUGCCAGCAGCCGCGGUAAUAAGUAGGUGGCAAGCGUUGUCCGGAAUUAUUGGGCGGAAAGGGAGCGCAGGCGGGAAGGUAAGUCGGUCUUAAAAGUGCGGGGCUCAACCCCGUGAUGGGAUCGAAACUAUCUUUCUUGAGUGCAGGAGAGGAAAGUGGAAUUCCUAGUGUAGCGGUGAAAUGCGUAGAUAUUAGGAGGAACACCAGUGGCGAAGGCGACUUUCUGGACUGUAACUGACGCUGAGGCUCGAAAGCCAGGGGAGCGAACGGGAUUAGAAACCCGGGUAGUCC